rnacentral:rRNA from 1 species
GGUGAACGCUGGCGGCGUGCCUAAGACAUGCAAGUCGAGCGGGGCAGGUUUAUACCUGUUCAGCGGCGGACGGGUGAGUAACGCGUGGGUGACCUACCCGGAAGAGGCGGACAACCUGGGGAAACCCAGGCUAAUCCGCCAUGUGGUCCUGUCCUGUGGGGUAGGACUAAAGGGUGGAUAGCCCGCUUCCGGAUGGGCCCGCGUCCCAUCAGCUAGUUGGUGGGGUAAAGGCCCACCAAGGCGACGACGGGUAGCCGGUCUGAGAGGAUGGCCGGCCACAGGGGCACUGGGACCCGGGGCCGAGCCCUACGGGGGGCAGCAGUUAAGAAUGUUCCGCAAUGGACGGAAGUCUGACGGAGCGACGCCGCUUGGAGGAGGAAGCCCUUCGGGGUGUAAACUCCUGAACUGGGGACGAAAGCCCUGUGUAGGGGGAUGACGGUACCCAGGUAAUAGCGCCGGCCAACUCCGUG